AAAGGCAAAAAGAAUAACGCGUCUCCUUGGUGCCCCAAAAGGAGAACUUGAUGGUGACAGCCUCACAGUGAGUGCUUAUUUCAUGUUUACCUAUAGUUUUUUCCUUCCUUUAUCUUUUGAUUUUUCAUUUUUCCUCCCAGAAAGCAAGACACUUUUAAAGGCACUGUGCCCUGUCCUGGGACUUGUUACCCAGACAGGGAAUUACUAUCACAGAUUUUCUUUUGUCAAAAUGAGUUUGUAGGUUUCUACAGUAUCAAAUUAGGAAGGGUUGCUUGUUCCUGGAUUUGGGGAAGUUUGGCUUUUUUUAUGCUCUUCUUCUUUCUCCUUCCUGAAAAUCAGGAUUCUCAGAUUUCAUCAGGUUUAGAGGUACUGAACUUAACAGCUCAAAAACAGGGUAGAUCCCUUGAUAAAUAUCAUGCUCUUGAAAGCCUCUUUUUAGGCAUCAGAACAGAUGGACAGUUUGAAAAUGUUUGGUUCACUGGUCUCUAGGCUAAGAUGGACAUUAUUUAAACCUGCAACUUUAAGCCAAAGUUAGUUUGGUGGUCUCUAAACCAGAGACAAAUUGUUGGCUUUCCAAAACAAACCAUAAAGAGAGAAAUAAAGGUUUUAUUUUGUUCGUGUGUUUGUAAAACGAUUUCUUGGAGACCAAGAAAUAAUAAAGUUCUUUCUUCCUUCUCCUCAGGUGUACGUGGCAGCCUUUGCUGUAUCAGCAUAUGCAUCUAGCUAUUUCCGAGCUGGGAGCAAGCCCUUCAAUCCUGUUCUUGGAGAAACCUAUGAGUGUAUCCGUGAGGACAAAGGCUUCCGGUUUUUCUCAGAGCAGGUCAGCCACCAUCCACCUAUCUCUGCAUGUCACGCUGAGUCUGGAAAUUUUGUUUUCUGGCAAGAUGUGAGAUGGAAAAACAAAUUCUGGGGCAAAUCCAUGGAAAUUGUCCCCAUUGGCACCACCCACGUGACUCUGCCAGCGUAAGUUCUUCUGUGCUUAGGAACUUUAUAGAAUUUAGGGCCAAGAUACAGCUUUAGGAAUGGGACUCCCAUUGUCCCCCAUGGUGUUGAGUAUAUGUUUUUUCCCUUUUCAUUGGUUUGACAGUAAGUUCAAAUGUACCUCAUUUUGACAAGCUCACAUUUUCUUCAAACAGAAAUGCCACCUGGAAACCAAAGUUCAUUGAACAAAAGCUCUUUUAAAACUCGUUUCCACUUUCUAACAAAAUUAAGAAUGGUGGUUUGCCUUAACAUUGUUGUCCUACCUAACUGUCAGAAUUCCUUUAAAGAAAGAUAUGGACUUGAUCCUACAGAGAUUAUUGGUACUCAUUUAUAAAGCCAAAUGGCUGUGAGUGUGGCCUCUGGGACUGGGCUAAUAGGACUCAUGUACUCACCCUGCCACUUACUAAUUGCAAAGCCUUGGGCAGGUUACUUAAUCAUUCUGAUCACUAGUUCCCUCAUCUAUAAAACACGAGAA